rnacentral:rRNA from 1 species
AGUGAACGCUGGCGGUAGGCCUAACACAUGCAAGUCGAACGGCAGCACAGUAAGAGCUUGCUCUUACGGGUGGCGAGUGGCGGACGGGUGAGGCAUACAUCGGAAUCUACUUUUUCGUGGGGGAUAACGUAGGGAAACUUACGCUAAUACCGCAUACGACCUACGGGUGAAAGCAGGGGAUCUUCAGACCUUGCGCGAUUGAAUGAGCCGAUGCCGGAUUAGCUAGUUGGCGGGGUAAAGGCCCACCAAGGCGACGAUCCGUAGCUGGUCUGAGAGGAUGAUCAGCCACACUGGAACUAGGAGACGGUCCAGACUCCUACGGGAGGCAGCAGUGGGGAAUAUUGGACAAUGGGCGCAAGCCGGAUCCAGCCAUACCGCGUGAGUGAAGAAGGCCUUCGGGUUGUAAAGCCCUUUUGUUGGGAAAGAAAAGCAGCAGGUUAAUACCCCGCUGUUCUGACGGUACCCAAAGAAUAAGCACCGGCUAACUUCGUG